rnacentral:rRNA from 1 species
AUUGAACGCUGGCGGCAGGCCUAACACAUGCAAGUCGAGCGGAUGAAGGGAGCUUGCUCCUGGAUUCAGCGGCGGACGGGUGAGUAAUGCCUAGGAAUCUGCCUGGUAGUGGGGGAUAACGUCCGGAAACGGGCGCUAAUACCGCAUACGUCCUGAGGGAGAAAGUGGGGGAUCUUCGGACCUCACGCUAUCGGAUGAGCCUAGGUCGGAUUAGCUAGUUGGUGGGGUAAAGGCCUACCAAGGCGACGAUCCGUAACUGGUCUGAGAGGAUGAUCAGUCACACUGGAACUGAGACACGGUCCAGACUCCUACGGGAGGCAGCAGUGGGGAAUAUUGGACAAUGGGCGAAAGCCUGAUCCAGCCAUGCCGCGUGUGUGAAGAAGGUCUUCGGAUUGUAAAGCACUUUAAGUUGGGAGGAAGGGCAGUAAGUUAAUACCUUGCUGUUCUGACGUUACCAACAGAAUAAGCACCGGCUAACUUCGUG